rnacentral:tRNA from 1 species
GCCCUAUGGAUAGCUCAGUUGGUUAGAGCGUGGCGCUGAUAACGCCAAGGCUGCAGGUUCAAUCCCCCUUUGGGAUA